rnacentral:rRNA from 1 species
UACGUAGGGGGCAAGCGUUGUCCGGAUUUAUUGGGCGUAAAGAGCGUGUAGGCGGCUUGGUAGGUCCGCUGUGAAAACUCGAGGCUCAACCUCGAGAUGUCGGCGGAAACUGCUUGGCUAGAGUCCGGAAGAGGAGAGUGGAAUUCCCGGUGUAGCGGUGAAAUGCGCAGAUAUCGGGAAGAACACCUAUGGCGAAGGCAGCUCUCUGGGACGGUACUGACGCUGAGACGCGAAAGCGUGGGGAGCGAACAGG